UUAUUUUAUAGUAGUUCAUACUAAAGUACCAGUAUCCACGUCUCGAUGCUUGUAACCAGCAAUUACAAAAUCUAUACUCUUAUUUUGAAUGCAGUGUUUUUCGUGUACAUCUGGUAACUUAACACAGCUCUGAAUAGUGACCACAAGGGAGCAGCAGAUCACGUCCGCACACACAUCAUGGACUUGAACCAUAGGACUGGAUGUUGCAAUAACUUGCAAUAACUUUGUGCUACGUUUUUUUUUUAAACAUUGUUGAACUAAAAUAUGGUGGCUUGAUAAUUCACCAGAAUGGUUACCAAUAAUGCACCUGUAUGGUGAAAUUCAUUCCAAGAUACCCUCAUCUGCACUCCCUUGACAGCAAUCGUGAUACUGAGUGGAUUUUCUUGAUAAAAUAAAAGACUUCCUGCUCUCGUCAAAGCUGCCAGUUGAUUUAAGAAAAAGUUAUAUUAAGCCUUUUGUAGCUCCAGAGGAUGAUGCACGAACCUGAUAAAUUGCCUCAAAUGAUGUCACUGGAGUCAGCGUCAGUUGGGGCUGAAGACUGCAAAAAUCUGGUGUUACCAGAGACCUCUGUAACUUCUCAUCUCUGCUUUAGGCUAGCAGCGCAAAGCUAAAAUACCCAACACCAACACACCUGAAUGUAAGACCGACCUUCCAGCAGUCAAGUUGCAUUGUGGGUAAUGUAAUGUAAUUUCUGUAUCGAUUUAAAAAAAAUCUGUCCUUUGUGAUUCCGACAAUGUUACAGAAAUGUAAUGUUAAAUCAGAGGAUUACUUUUUCCAGUUGGAUCUGCUCAUCAUUGCAAAAUCAUAUGUAAAAUUUUAGUUUUGUUAAAUCCUUAAUAUAUCAAUAUUUAUAGUAUAUAUAAAAAUAGGGACUAAAUUAAAAGGACAUUUGCUGAAAAGCAACCAAAAAGAAAAGUAAACUGAAGAAUUUAGUAUCACACAAGACAGUGAUGAUGCAUAAGAUGCAAAACAAAAUGUUUUUAAUUGUUUGCACAGACAGUGAGGAUGACUGUCAUGGUGCUGCUGAAUAUGCAGAGUGUAACUACAGGACAAACUGUUCAGCCCAACUAAGUCAGUUCAAAGAUUAGCAUAGAUCAGGGAGAUAAAAGCCAUGCUUCAGCAGAGUUAAUGUCCUUCAGGGAAGAUAACAGACUGUAAAGGAAGUUUGACCUUAUAUCUGGAUUAUGGUAAUCAUGACCUGCUGGAAGGAGACAAUGAGAAAUCAUGACUCUACAUAUCUCAGAACAGACCGAACCUCAGCUGAGUCCUCUAAAUGUGUACAGUGUGUGUUUCUAUGGGUGUGCAUACAACUGUCCAAGUGAUUUGAUACAGUACUAAUGCAGGCAGGAUUAGAGGCAGUAUUUAUAUCUGUGGUUUAUGACAUAAGGACAUAAGUAGUAAAAACAAUAUGGUUAGUUGUUUUCUUAACUUCUUUGCCCUUCCUUCUUGCAAUCCUCACCUCUUUAAACAGAGGAGAGAUAAGAGAUAGUCAAGCUUUGGACUGGAGCAUUAUUGUUGUGUAAAAAAGAACAUAUUUCUCUGGCUGUGUUGUCGCGAUUACAACAUAAAGAUCUUAAGUAAGCAAAUCAUCUUUGUGCACAGUACGAUUUAAAAGAAAAUGACUUUGAGCAGAAGUUUUUCAGGUACUGUCCACUGUCAUUAGGUGGAUGUAAAUACAAAUGUAUCAUUGAAUUAUGGGACAAAAAGCCCCAGAAGGUCCAGAGGGGAGUUGUAGUGUCACACAAGUAACUCACUGGACACCUACUUUCCUCUCUAUUCUGAAAUAUACUGUACUCAUAAACUCAACUUUGUUCCCAAAAUGACACCAAAUGUUUUUUCUAACCCUGUCACUUAAAACAUCAAAGUGUGUGAAGAAACUUUAGUCCACUUGUUGUGGAAGUGUAUGUAACUCAUCUGACAUGAAUCCAACAUGGAGCACGGUUGAGGGAAAAACUAUUGUUUUCUCUCAUUGUACUCAUAAAAUCUAUGUAGAUAAUAAAUAGCUGAUCUUAUUUAUGCUAAUAACCAAGAUAAUCUUUUCCCCCUUGCACAGGCGGUGUUUUGCCCUAUCACACCAUACUGUAUAUCUGUUGUUCCCUUAUGUUGUAGUGGAGAGGUCAAGGUCAUGCCAAGGACUUGUAUUAAGUGUUAAAGGAAUAGCUUUGCAUACAGCUAGCCUGUCUCUUUCCAAAGGAAACAAAACGUGCAUACAAGCCACCAGCACCUUUACAGCAACUUCCUUUUUUAAUUAUACACCGACUUUUAUGUUUUAUGUUUUGUAUAUUCUUUGUUGUACACCACUGUGUGUGAUACAAGUUUUUAUUUGACUUGUCUAUGUUUUACAUUAAUUGCUGUAAAGAAUUUUGUUACCUGUAUUGAAAAGUGCAACAAAAAUAAAGCAAUUAUUGUAUUAUUGUA